CACGUAGGCGGAUUAUUAAGUCAGGGGUGAAAUCCCAGGGCUCAACCCUGGAACUGCCUUUGAUACUGGUAGUCUUGAGUACGAGAGAGGUGAGUGGAAUUCCGAGUGUAGAGGUGAAAUUCGUAGAUAUUCGGAAGAACACCAGUGGCGAAGGCGGCUCACUGGCUCGUAACUGACGCUGAGGUGCGAAAGCGUGGGGAGCAAACA
rnacentral:rRNA from 1 species